rnacentral:tRNA from 1 species
GAGGGUAUAGCUCAGUGGUAGAGUACAUGCUUAGCAUGCACUAGGUCCUGGGUUCAAUCCCCAGUCCCUCCA